rnacentral:pre_miRNA from 1 species
UUUUCAGUAUACAUAUAUCCCAUGCAAUAUUUGGGACAUAAUUAUACUAAAC